UCCCGGCAGUCCAAGUCGCAGCCAACAUUAUUGGGUCUAAAACAUCCGUAGCUUGUUUAUUAAGUUCCCUGUGAAAUCCUAUGUCUUAAAUAUGGGGCGUGCAGGGAAUACUGAUAGGCUAGAGACCGGAAGAUGUAAGGAGUACACUUGAGGUAGUAGUAAAAUACGUUAAUCUUAAGCGGACUAACAAUUGGCGAAGGCACCUUACAAGUACGGAUCUGACAGUGAGGGAUGAAGGCUAGGGGCGCAAAAG
rnacentral:rRNA from 1 species